rnacentral:rRNA from 1 species
AUACAGAGGUCCCGAGCGUUGUUCGGAUUCACUGGGUGUAAAGGGUGCGUAGGCGGCUUUGCAAGUCUGAUGUGAAAUCUCCGGGCCCAACCCGGAAAUGGCAUUAGAAACUGUGAGGCUGGAGGCUUGGAGGGGGAACUGGAAUGCUCGGUGUAGCAGUGAAAUGCGUAGAGAUCGAGCGGAACACCAGUGGCGAAGGCGAGUUCCUGGACAAGACCUGACGCUGAGGCACGAAAGCCAGGGGAGCAAACA